ensembl:lncRNA
CUUUACUUGGGAUGGAGUUGGGUUCGUUCGAUCAGACAGCACGCCUCACAGAGGAACGUGCGCAGUUGGUGCUGACCUGCUUGAAUUCGUUCAAGGGCAGGACGGUGGUCCCACUGAAGCUAUUUCAGAGGCUCCUGGGGCAUAUGGCAGCUGCAGUGGCACUUACAUCGCUAGGGCUAUUGCAUAUGAGACCACUUCAGCAGUGGCUUCAUGUCCCGGGGUGUCCCGAGGUGGGCGUGGCAGCACGGUCCAAGUUACACUGGCCUGUCGCCAAACCUUCACCACGUGGUCAGAUCUUACAUUUCUCCGGCCUGGAGUGCCCCUGGAACAGGUCUCCAGGCAUGCUGUGGUUUACACACAGUGUUGGGGGUAUGGACGGGCCCCCAUCUGCACUGACAUAUCAGUUGCCUAGAGUUGUUAGCAGUGCGCCUUGCCUUGAACCGUCUCAAAAGGCGCUUGCGAGCCAAGCACGUGCUGGUCCGAACGGACAACACAACGACCGUUGCGUACAUCAAGGACAAGGUGGUCUGCACUCCCAUCUCAACUCGCCCGCCACUUCCUCCUUUGGGGUCAGAAGGUCACUUCAUGUCAUUCACAUCCCAGACCUGCUCAACCAUACUGCCGAUGAGCUGUACCAAGCUACGCUUCCGGGAGAGUGGUUCCCCAAAAUAGUGCUCCUCGAAACAGCCUCUCCCUGGCGGAUUCCUCUGAGGAAGGAUCUACUGACUCAGAGACAGUGCACCCUGUGGAACCCGCAUCCAGACCUCUGGAAACUUCAUGUCUGGUCCCUGGAUGGGAUGCAGAGGUUUAUGGUGACCUACCCCUAGAGGUAGUGGACAGUAUCCAUGCAAGGUCAGGGAGGAUGAGGAGCAGGUCUUGCUUGUGGCACUGUAUUGGCCCACUCAGACCUGGUUCCCCAAAAUAGUGCUCCUCGAAACAGCCCCUCCCUGGCGGAUUCCUCCGAGGAAGGAUCUACUGACUCAGAGACAGUGCACCCUGUGGCACCCGCAUCCAGACCUCUGGAAACUUCAUGUCUGGUCCCUGGAUGGGAUGCAGAGGUUUAUGGUGACCUACCCCUAGAGGUAGUGGACAGUAUCACUUCGGUGAGAGCACGUCUACGAGACACAAGCUAAUGCCUUGAGUGGAACCUGUUCGUCGAGUGGUGUUCUUCUCGUCGAGAAGACCCCCAGAGGCCUUUGUUUACUGCAGAAGCCAGACCCUCAGACCGCGGACUCACCUACUGCUGCUACCUGCUCAAGGAGGUGCCGCAAGCAGUGUGAGAGGGGAUGCAAAUGCAGCAAGUGUGGAGGUAUAUGAGCUAGGCCAAUGGCUAACCCCACAAGACCAGCUUUUCCAAAAAUCUUGCUGUCAAAUGUACGCUCACUAGAAAAAAAACUGGACCUUAUUCGACUCUGUUGGACUACACAGCGUGAGACAAGGGAGUGCUGCGUGUUUGUUUUUACAGAAACGUGGCUAAACAACAACAUCCAAGCCUCAACGUCCCAACAACAUCCCAGGGCUAACCUGCUACCGAUCAGACAGAGAUACAGCACUGUCUGAUAAGACUCGCAGAGGUGGCUUGUGUGUGUAUAUUAACAAAGAAUGGUGCAACAAUGCUGUGUUGGUGUCAAAACACUGCUCGUCACUGGUGGAGUUUAUAAUUGUGAAGUGCUGACCCUUCUAUCUGCUGAGGGAGUUCACGGCCAUUGUUAUCAUUGCUGUGUAUAUACCCCCUUGUGCAAACACUAAGGAUGCGCUUCGCAAACUUUACAGUGCUAUCAGCGAGCUACAAACGAAUAACCCUGAUGGCUCUUUCAAAAUAUCCAGUGACUUUAAUCACGGAAACUUAAAGACAGUUUUGCCCAAAGUUCUACCAAAAUGUUAACUUUGCAACAAGAGAAAACAACACAUUGGACUUGGUUUACACAACAGAAAAAAAUGCGUAGAAAGCUGCACCCCGCCCCCAUCUCGGGUACUCCACAUCUCUGUUAUGCUAAUACCAGCAUACAGACCACUUCUCAAACUUGCAAAACCGGUCCAAAAGCAGAUCACAGUAUGGCCAGAUGAUGCUACCUCAGCACUACAGGACUGCUUCCAGGACACAGACUGGAACAUGUUUAAAGAGGCCAUGACCACACAGACCUGCAAGAGUACACUGAAACAAUGACUGCUUACAUCAAAAAGUGCAUUGAUGAUGUGACAGUCACCAAGAACAUCACCACACGUGCAAACCAGGAGCCAUGGAUGACAGCUGAGGUUCGUGGGCUGCUAAAGACCCAAGAUAAUGCAUUCAGAUCGGGAAAAAAGCAGUCCUCAAAACAGCAAGAGCCAACCUGUCCCGUGGCAUUAAGAAAGCAAAACGGUUGUAUGUACAAAAAAUCAAUAAUCACUUAACCCUCUGGGGUCAACUAACGCGGAUACGCGUUUUGUGACAUCUUCUCCUAAUAACACCGAAAAUAACUUAUUAACAAGUGAAUCUCAAGUUAUUUUGUGAGAUAAUUAAAUAUAUUCUAAAUAAACAACAAACCUAAAAAUAUAUACA